GCGCGCGAGCAGGGGGCGUCUCCCUUGCGAGCAUCUGAUUGCUUCGACAGAUUCAGAGAGAUGCCAAAGCCGAUGUACUCGCGACUACAGGUAUAGUGCCUUUAACGGAGUGCCGAACAAACGGGCAACAGCGGCGACACAGUUCAAGCGUAAUAAACAAAGGGAAAAACAGGAAACCGUGCAGUAAGACGGACGUCAACGGACACAAAGACAACUCCGGCGGGCACCUUGAGCAAUCAAAUGCUGUUCCACGAGGCAUUGAGCCGCUGCCUCACGCAUACAGACCCUGGAUUCCAGUCCACCCUGUAUCAAGCUGGCAUUUUCCCCUCUGUUUGAAUGGGUUUCCUCCCACAUCCCGAUGAGGAUAGGUCGAUUGACCAGUCAAAGACUUCAUGACUUAGAGUUGCAAUGGCAUGGGUGAACCUGUUUUUGGAUUAAGCUGUUCUGGGAGAGGUAUGCUGCAUUAGGUAAAAACGGUUCUCAUAUUCAUGCCAGAAGGUUUUAUGUGUGUUUUGUUUUUAAUUAUAUUUUUGUUGACCUUUUGUAACUAAAUAUUUCACUAUAAUUUGCACUGUGUGUAGUAUGUGACAAAAUUUGUUUUGGAUUUAGAAUCUUAGCUUGGACAUAAUCCAAAUGAGAAUUGUCAAAAACAUUUUCACACCAAUUCUUUUUUGUCUGGCCUCUCUCUAGUGCCGUCUGGGCAGUUUUUUUUUUCUUGGAAGCUUACCUGACUUGACUCCACAUUACCCGAAUGCUCAUUUUUGGAGGAUGUCCAUUAUCAUAUAGAUUUUCUUUUUAGUAAUUAUUCUCAUGUUCUUAAAAUAAUUCUUGGUUUAAUGGAAUAAAUUCUUGGUGCUUUUCAA